AACGAACGUUAGCGGCGCGCCUAACACAUGCAAGUCGCACGAGAAAGGGCUUCGGCCCCGGUACAGUGGCGCACGGGUGAGUAACACGUGGGUAAUGUUCCCUCAGGCGGGGGAUAACCUUCCGAAAGGAGGGCUAAUACCGCAUAAGACCACGGCUUCGAAGGGAGCUGAGGUAAAAGCAGGCCUCUACAUGUAAGCUUGCACCGGAGGAUCAGCCCGCGGCCCAUCAGCUAGUUGGCAGGGUAAUGGCCUACCAAGGCUAAGACGGGU
rnacentral:rRNA from 1 species